rnacentral:misc_RNA from 1 species
AUGGCAUUUUCAUCUGGCUCUCGGUCUGAUUUUAGCGACAUUCAUGAGCGGUUGCAUCGUUUGUCAUUGCUGCGAUGCUGCGAUUGCUGCGAUUUCAAUUUGCAUGGAAUGACGAAUGAUUUAAGGGGCGAGGCCAGUGGCGAUUGGAGUGGCGGGAGUGGGAGUGGGAGUGGCACUGCCAGAAGCAUCAGUACCAACGCUACUGAAAUGCCAGGCAACAAUCAGCAUCAGAUUCAGCACCAGGAACAGCACCACCAGCAACGGCAUCGCAAUCACAAUCAAUUUGGACAGGGCCAGCAAUCCCAGCGGCAAUAUCCCAGCACCACCUACCACUCGAACCACCCACAGGCACUGGCAAAGUCACACUCGCAGUCACAUCACCAACCAUCCCCCCAUUUACCCCCAUGGCGUUACCAUGGCCAGGACCUGUUCUCUCCGAUUCGCGGACAUUAUGGGAGUUCGUCUAGCGCCGCCGCCGCACCACCAACUCCGCGCAGCGCCUUCCCCGGCGCCCCGCUAACCGCCUCAGCCGUCGCACUCAAGGGCGCCUUACCCCAGCGGCCACCGGCCAUGACCAGUCCCGCUGCCGCUGCCGCCGGCGCCGCCUUGGCCGCUGGUGCACCGUAUCGUGGCGCCGCCAGCUGGACCCCGCAGGGUUAUGCCCCGGCCGCUGCUGCCGCCGCCGCUGCUGUUGCCCAGCAGGCUGCUUACCGUUAUACGGCGCCGUUACCGCAACCGGCGUAUGCCGCCUACACGCCGCACACGGCCACCACUCCGGCCACAACCACGUACGGUCAGCGAGUGCCGACGGCAGCCUCUCCGAGCAACACCAACUCGAGCAGCUCCUCGAACACGGGAUCGCAAAGCGGCACCCUGAGCACCAGUCUGAGCAACACGACGAACACCAACACAAACAUGGGUCCCAACGGCACGGCACAGAAUCAAAACCAGCAGGGCGGCGAGCAGUUGUCCAAGACAAACCUCUACAUUCGCGGCCUCCAGCAAGGCACAACCGACAAGGAUCUAGUUAAUAUGUGUGCACAAUACGGAACAAUUAUAUCAACCAAGGCUAUUUUAGAUAAAACAACAAACAAAUGUAAAGGUUACGGCUUCGUCGACUUCGAGCAGCCAGCCUUCGCCGAGUGCGCCGUCAAAGGAUUGCAGGGGAAGGGCGUGCAAGCUCAGAUGGCCAAACAACAGGAACAGGAUCCCACAAAUUUGUAUAUCGCAAAUUUGCCGCCUCACUACAAAGAAACUGAUCUGGAGGCAAUGCUAUCGAAAUAUGGACAAGUUGUUUCGACCAGAAUAUUGCGUGAUCAGCAGAUGAACUCAAAGGGCGUUGGCUUUGCCCGUAUGGAGAGUCGUGAGAAGUGCGAGCAAAUCAUCCAGAUGUUUAAUGGCAACACAAUACCGGGUGGCAAAGAUCCCCUCCUUGUGAAAUUCGCCGACGGUGGACCCAAAAAGAAGAAUCUCUUCAAGACACCCGAUCCGAAUGCGCGUGCGUGGCGUGAUGUCUCCGCGGAGGGUAUCCCCGUGGCCUAUGAUCCGACUUUGCAACAGAACGGAGUCAGCGUUAAUGUUGGCACACCCAUUGGAGUGCCCUACUCUCGAUUCAGCGCCCCCCAGGUGGGUGGCUAUCCAGUGGCCGGCUCCCAAUGGAUACCCGGCUAUAUGAUGACCCAGCCGAUCACUCAGGUAGAUGAUCAGUACAUGCAGAUGGCAGCUGCCCCCCAGUUGGGUGUGACCUCAUACAAGCCGGAGGCGGUCAACCAAGUGCAGCCGCGUGGCAUUUCGAUGAUGGUCAGUGGCGACACGGCCGUGCCAUAUGGAACGAUGAUGCCCCAGUUGGCCACCCUGCAGAUUGGCAACUCUAACUUUUCUCCAUCGUUACAGUAUAUUAGUCCAACUUAUCCAUAUUAUGCACCACCACCAACUAUUAUACCAACAAUGCCAAUGACAGAUUCCGAACAGGCUAGCACAGCUGCAUCACCCGACGAGGCAUACACACAGUAUCCACAUCAAGCCGCUCCCAAAUAGGUCUUCGCGAGUAUAGUUACUAAGCAGUCUAAUCACUGGUAAUCCGUACUAGUUAUAAUAUAUUAGUACCCCAACUGAGUACGAUAUAAUUUGGACGAGAGUGAGAGGAAGCGGAGGAGCCUAGAAUAGGAUGGAUGAAAUCAAGACAAGGAACAACUGAGCAGCGGAUCGGAAGGAUAUAGGAGUCAACAGCAACAACAACCUCAUGAACAAAAAGAACACCAGAAGAAACAACCAUACAGCGGCAGAAGAAUCGGGAUACUCAGCAUGCAGUUGGCGAAAUUAGAAUUUUUUGGAAAAGGUUUAGAAUUCCCAGAAUGCCGUGGCGACAAAAGAAAAAAAAAAAAAAGUAUAAUUAGGGAGGUUGGAUGAUCGAUGUGAGGCAGAAGUUUAGGGGAUACAUGAGUUUAAUGUAAGCGAUGCGAUUAAAUGGAAAAGCCAGUCUCGAAAGAGGCUCGUGCCGAAGACGCGAGUAAAACGUGAAGAAAAGCAAAGACUAAACUUAAAUAAUAGAGAAUAGUUAUACA